GACGAACGCUGGCGGCGUGCUUAACACAUGCAAGUCGAACGCUGAAGCCCAGCUUGCUGGGUGGAUGAGUGGCGAACGGGUGAGUAACACGUGAGUAACCUGCCCCCUUCUUUGGGAUAACGCCCGGAAACGGGUGCUAAUACUGGAUAUUCACUGGCUUUCGCAUGGGGGUUGGUGGAAAGGUUUUUUCUGGUGGGGGAUGGGCUCGCGGCCUAUCAGCUUGUUGGUGGGGUGAUGGCCUACCAAGGCUUUGACGGGUAGCCGGCCUGAGAGGGUGACCGGUCACAUUGGGACUGAGAUACGGCCCAGACUCCUACGGGAGGCAGCAGUGGGGAAUAUUGCACAAUGGGCGAAAGCCUGAUGCAGCGACGCCGCGUGAGGGAUGACGGCCUUCGGGUUGUAAACCUCUUUCGCUCAUGGUCAAGCCGCAGCUUUGGGUUGUGGUGAGGGUAGUGGGUAAAGAAGCGCCGGCUAACUACGUGCCAGCAGCCGCGGUAAUACGUAGGGCGCGAGCGUUGUCCGGAAUUAUUGGGCGUAAAGGGCUUGUAGGCGGUUGGUCGCGUCUGCCGUGAAAUCCCCUGGCUUAACUGGGGGCGUGCGGUGGGUACGGGCUGACUUGAGUGCGGUAGGGGAGACUGGAACUCCUGGUGUAGCGGUGGAAUGCGCAGAUAUCAGGAAGAACACCGGUGGCGAAGGCGGGUCUCUGGGCCGUUACUGACGCUGAGGAGCGAAAGCGUGGGGAGCGAACAGG
rnacentral:rRNA from 1 species